GAUGAACGCUGGCGGCGUGCCUAAUACAUGCAAGUCGAGCGAACAGACGAGGAGCUUGCUCCUCUGACGUUAGCGGCGGACGGGUGAGUAACACGUGGAUAACCUACCUAUAAGACUGGGAUAACUUCGGGAAACCGGAGCUAAUACCGGAUAAUAUAUUGAACCGCAUGGUUCAAUAGUGAAAGACGGUUUUGCUGUCACUUAUAGAUGGAUCCGCGCCGCAUUAGCUAGUUGGUAAGGUAACGGCUUACCAAGGCAACGAUGCGUAGCCGACCUGAGAGGGUGAUCGGCCACACUGGAACUGAGACACGGUCCAGACUCCUACGGGAGGCAGCAGUAGGGAACCUUCCGCAAUGGGCGAAAGCCUGACGGAGCAACGCCGCGUGAGUGAUGAAGGUCUUCGGAUCGUAAAACUCUGUUAUUAGGGAAGAACAAAUGUGUAAGUAACUACGCACGUCUUGACGGUACCUAAUCAGAAAGCCACGGCUAACUACGUG
rnacentral:rRNA from 1 species